GGCUUUGAGGAUGUCUGCGGUGCUCCAGAAGCUCAAGAGGUUCAAGCUGCGGGCCCUGCACAACCAGAAGAAAUUUGGGGUGGCGGGCAGGAGCUGCGAGGAAGUGCUGCGGAAGGCGUGCCUCCACUUGCAGCGUCGAGCAACAGAGGACUAAACCUCAGCAAGUUCAGAGUCCCGCGUGCUGAUCACACUUCCGUGGACAGAGGCGGCUUAGUGCAAGCAGUCAAGGGUCAUUUUUGGAAACAGGCUUGAAUUUUAAAGCGCCCUGGAGGAGCUCGGUUUGGAGGGUCCGAGUGGUGAAUCCUGCAAAGCGGUUAUCACCGUCUCCCCGUUCCUGGCUCCAGCCUGUGUCUCUACGAGGACGGCACGGAGCUGACUGGAGAUUACUUCUGGAGUGUCCCCGACGACUCGGAGCUCGUGCUUCUCACUGCGGGGCAGACCUGGCAGGGUUACGCGAGUGACAUCAGCCGCUUCCUGAGCGUGUUCCAGAAGCCGCAUGCAGAGCUCAUCCAGGCCGCCCGGCAGCUGCUCUCGGACGAGCGGGCCCCGCUGCGGCAGAAGCUCCUGGCCGACCUGCUGGGCACUGUCAGCGAGAACAUCGCGGCCGAGACCAGGGCCGAGGACGCGCCGUGGUUCGAAGCAGGUGUCAGGAUUCCCUUCCUCUUUGAGGCUGCGUGAUAUUCCAUCACCUGGGUGGACCACAUCUUUAUCCAUUCACCUGGGCUGCUCCCACCUUUUGGACUGGCCUCUCAAGCCAGAUGGAGGGAGCCCUGAGCGACUGCAGCCCUCUUGGGAAAGGGGCUUGGAGGUGCCACCAGGCAGAAGCCCCUCGGUGGCCUUUGAGACGCUCCGUGCUGGUGGACCAGACUUCUCCACAAACGAACAAAAUCCAGGGAUAGUGUGUUUGGAGUCCCGGUUUAGGAACAAGUCUGGCUACCUGAGAUACAGCUGUGAGAGCCGGAUCCGGAGCUACCUGAGAGAGAGCUCAAGCUGGGUCCGGGGUUGCAGACUUUGCCUCCCUGCACUCUCCGUGAACUCUCCCUACGGGCUGUGGCGUCUGGCGCCUCCCUGCUUGUCCCGGAGGCUCGGGAGGAGUACCUGCGGGUCGUGGGCGCCAUGGGCCAGAAGCUCCAGGCCGCCCGCUACAACAGCAGCUACUUCGACAGGGGGGCGAAGGCCAGCCGCCGGCUCUGCACGCCUGAAGGCUGGUUCUCCUGCCAGGGUCCCUUUGACGUGGACGACUGUGCUUCCAGACACUCCAUCAACCCCUACAGUAACAGGGAGAGCCGCGUCCUCUUUAGCACCUGGAACCUGGACCACGUUAGGAAAUACUGCAGUACUGCUCCAUCCACGUUGGUUGACUCGGCGGAUACCGAGCCGCGGACACGAAGGAACCCUGCGCGCAGAGGGCCUCCUGGAAAGUUACACGUGGAGUUUUGCCCGCGUGGGGUGCUGGCUCCUAACGUCCCCUGUCUCCCGUCCUGCGUGUUGCCGGGUUGCUCUCCAGGGUGGUCCCACCGACACCCUCACCGGCUGUGAGUUCACGCGCCCCAGGCUUCACCACCUCUUGGUAUCAGUACUCUUUUUGCGUUCUCCCAGUCUGAUGGGCGAGAAGCAGAUUCUCCUGUUGCAGUUCAUUUGCCUGAUCACUAGGAAGGUUGAAUGUCCGUGUGUUUAUUGGCCGUUUGCGUUCUGUGAAGUGGCUCUUGCUUCCUCUGUUCAUGUUUUACUGGGCUUUGGUUUUCUAAUUAAUUUGUAGGAAUUCUUUACACGUCCUGGUUACUGAUUCUUUGGUGGCUCUUUGUGUUACAGGUAUGUUUUUACACUUUGGGCUUGUCUUUCGCUCCUGGGAUGUCUUUGAUCGUGACGAGUUUAAAUUCCAGUGUACUGAGACAUAUCUCUUCUUUUUCGUGUGAAAUCCUUUCCUUCCUGUAUCAUGAAGAUAUCCUAGUUUUUCUCUCCUGGUUGGCUGCGCUGUUUCUGACCUGCCUGGAGCACCCCAAGAUGAUCUCGGGGCUCCAGGCCAUCUGUCUGCUCCUGUCUUUUCACGGCCCACUAGGGGCCACCACCAGCGUCUGAGGAGGGAAACUGGCCGGCCUGGAAGAGAACGCGGAUGAAGCAGCAGCGUGCACGCCAGGCCCUGAGUCAUGUCUCCUGAAACGUGCCAGUUACAUUGCCGCUGUUCUUCUAAAUACACAUACGUCCACAUAGAUACACACACUGGCUUUUAACUUAAAAUGCAGUUUUGACAGCAGGCGGCCGGGGUUUGAAAACACUGGUCUGAUUGUUUCCCUGAGACGUGGCCACAGGCCCACCCCGACUCUGGUGGGGCUGAAGCCACAAGCCACGUGUUUAAAUAGUUAAACACUAAAGAGUAACAAACCCUCAGUACAGCACGUGCUGUCCUCCCACCUGGACCGUGUCACCGCGGCCCAGGCCAGGUUCCUGGCCCCAGUCGGCGGACUUCUCAGGGCUCCGGGACGUGACUGCAGUGGCCUGCAGUCCGCAGCCUGCCCUCUUCUCUCACCCCUCGGGCCCCCUCACACCACGAGGGCUGCACGUACGGGGGCGCAGCCUGUCCCCGGAGGACGUCCCGCGCCUGAGUUCCGGGCGUGUGGGCUGGGCGGCGGGGCAGGGGUCCUGUUCCCCGAGGGCUGAGGGCGCCUCCUCCAACACCCGGUGUUGUGAGAAGUCUUCCUGUCUGGGACCAGCGCUUCCCUCCCUCCCUUCAAAACCGUCCUCGGCCUUUUCCUUAACUUCAUACAUUUGGCUUUUAUUUUUUAUCCUUUCUUUCUACUUUUUGGGGUUUCUUCUUGCUUAUUAGUUAAUUUGCAUCUCUUCUGUUUUCUAACAUGUACAUUUCAGGCUAUCAGCUUCAGCUUUAGCUACUGCCUGUGAGUUGGGUAAUUUUAUUGUUGUUCAGGUGUAAGGAUUCUGUCAUUUCCACCGUGAUUUUGUCGCUGCUCCGUGAACUGGUUAGAAGUGGGCAUUUGUGUUCAGUUGCUGCCGGAUUCCUAGCUGCCUCUCUCGGCGCCCGCUCGCUGCUGUGGCCGCUCACGCCUCCUCUCAGCCUCAGUGGCGGGGGCGUGAGUGCGCGUGGCCUCAGACCCGCGUGGCCUCAGACCCGCGUGGCCUCAGACCUGCGUGGCUGGAUUUAAGAUGCUCUGCCGGCUUUCCGCCCCUUUCUUGUCGACCUUGACGAGUCUCCAGGUUUGGGUGAGCGUCCCACUGGCCGUGUUAUUGCUCUUGUUCCCGUGGGGUCCGAGAUGGUCCCGUCAGAGCUGCCAGCUGCCGUCCUCUGCCUGGGUGGUGACGGCCGUGCUCCCCGUCGGCAUCGGGCUCUGCCAGGUCACUGGUGUGGGCACGUCCCCAGCGUCUUUCUGCUGCCGGGAUAGCGUCUGGCCACUGUGGCCAUUCACCCAGUGUUGGCUGAAUAAAUAGAAAAUGUGUUUGGACUUCUGUAGCCCUCUCUUCUGGGUUCCCAGUCACCGUUCCAGUUCUUCCCUUCUGGGCCUCCUUUGUGCUUUCUGUGGGUUUAACCGAGUUUUCCUUUUCCCUUGCCCAUCACCCCGCCCUUCAGUGGUUUGGGAAAUAGAUGUCUGCUGGUGUUCCCUUAGUGGGGCCCCUGAGUGAAGCACGUUGGAAGCAGAAUUGCGUCCCCCUCGCCCCUAGGCCCCAUGGAGUCACCUUGGUGUCACCCCCUCUGCUCACCGUGAGCCCUGCACAAAGCGUGGGCGUGUUCCCGGGGUGGGUCCUCGCUUACGCUCACCCACAGAUCACAUGGCACUCAGGCUCACUCCCUGUCGACGGUGAGGGUCAGGGGCUCGUAGAAAGGCCCUGAGCGCUUGCUGAGCUGACGUGACUCCAGGCCAGCGGCCCCUCGGCCCGCAGUGCUUUGGAGACACACCGCCUCACCUUCUGGCGUCUGUUCACAAGGCUGCCGUCAGUCUCCUCUGCCUUUUCUGUGGCAGCUUUAGGCUUUCCCUUUCUCUUUGAAAAUGAUGCAUAUCUAGUACAGAUCUCUGUUUUAAAUUCUGACCGGGACUUGUAUUCUCUGCUCUGAAGAUGUGUCUGUCUUUAAUUUUGGGAAGCUCUUCAGCAUUGAUUCUCUGACUCCCCCUCACGGACCUGGACCAGCUCCUUCUGUCCUCCUCGUGCUGCGUCUGCUCUUACACAUUCCCAUUCCCGGGGACUUCCUGCCACGGACUGAACUGUGUCCCCCAAAUUCAUGUGCUGAAGCCCUAACCCCAGGGUGACUGUGUCUGGGGAUAGGCUCUUCAGGAGGUGGUUAAGGGUAAAUGAGGUUGGAAGGGGGGAUCUGAUGGGACUGAUCUGAUAGGACUGUGGUCUCGUAAGAAGAGAGGGCUCGCUCUCCACCGUGUGAGGACGCAGCGAGGGGGCAGCCGUCUGCGAGCCAGGAAGACACUUCUCAGCAGAACCCAACCACGCUGGCCCUCUGGUCUCAGAAUCCCAGCCUCCAGAAUGCUUGUGGGAUCUUAGUUCCCCGACCAGGGAUUGAACUUGCACCCUCAGCAGUGAAAGCGCCGAGUCCUAACCACUGGACCGCCAGGGAGGUCCCCCAUCUACCUGUAAAAUGUGAGAAGCCCGGGUGGCCGGCAUCAGGCUCUGCCAGGCUGGCUGGCCCGGCGGGCGGGGCCGCGUGCGGCGAUGGCACCCCCGCCAGCCUGUGGAGGGAUGUCCCCAGCGCUCGUUCGAUGGCCACAGGAAUAGAAAAGAAGCGCACGGUCGUCCCCACGCUGGCCGCGGCCAUCCACGACGCCGAGGGGAGAGAAGUAGACUGGGAGUACUUCUACCGCCUGCUCUUCACCUCUGAGAACCUCAAGUUAGUC